rnacentral:rRNA from 1 species
UUGAACGCUGGCGGCAUGCUUUACACAUGCAAGUCGAACGGCAGCACGGGGGCAACCCUGGUGGCGAGUGGCGAACGGGUGAGUAAUAUAUCGGAACAUAUCCGGAAGUGGGGGAUAACGUACCGAAAGGUACGCUAAUACCGCAUAUGCCCUGAGGGGGAAAGCGGGGGAUCGUAAGACCUCGCGCUUUCGGAGUGGCCGAUAUCGGAUUAGCUAGUAGGUGAGGUAAAGGCUCACCUAGGCGACGAUCCGUAGCUGGUCUGAGAGGACGACCAGCCACACUGGGACUGAGACACGGCCCAGACUCCUACGGGAGGCAGCAGUGGGGAAUUUUGGACAAUGGGCGCAAGCCUGAUCCAGCCAUGCCGCGUGAGUGAAGAAGGCCUUCGGGUUGUAAAGCUCUUUCGGACAGAAAGAAAUCGCACAGGUUAAUACCUUGUGUGGAUGACGGUACUGUAAGAAGAAGCACCGGCUAACUACGU